GGGCGCGUAGCUCAGCGGGAGAGCACUUCGUUGACAUCGAAGGGGUCACAGGUUCAAUCCCUGUCGCGCCCACCA
rnacentral:tRNA from 2 species